AGAGAAAAUUUCGGGAAAAGAAAUACGUUUUGAUUUCUGCAAAGCUAUGAAGAAUCUUCUUUUUUCUUAUUUGCUUACACAUGUGGCAGGAAUAAAAAGUGCAACUGUGUUGUUUGCUUAAAUCUGCUAUGCACAAUCUUCUUCUUUCAUCUUCUUCACAAAAUUCUGAAUUUUGAAACAAAGUUUCAGAAUACAAACGAUCCUACAAUCUUUCUCAAAAAUCAGAAAACUCGUUCUUCAUCUCUCUCUACUCGAAAAUCAGAUUUCGUGUUGUGGACUUAUGGUUUCGAAAUCAGAAAAAGAAGGACAAAAGAUAUGGAUUAAGGUAUUUCUAAUUACUUGACUUGUGGACUUUCGUUUCAUGUUCUUCACUCCUCUCUUCAUGCGUUCUUUCUUUUUCUUCUACUUGAUUUUUUUAUUUCUAAUUUCUGAAAGAACAAGAAUUGAGUUUUGAAAAUCAGAGGAACACGAACAUUGAGCACAUCAGUUUUAAAAAUUAGAGGGAAAUGCAUUCAGGAAGUCGAAUUUUCUGUUUUGAAGAAUGCACGUACUGCUCACGUUUGUUAUGAUUUUUCAAGACCAUUUGGAGCACAUGGAUGAUUGUGCAAGUUCGGGAUGCGUUCGUAGACGCUUAGGAACUUAAUUGGAGUCUAGACCAAGGAAGGAUACCGGGAAAUGAUCAAGAACUUCUUGGAAGGAGGAACGGCGAUCAAAAGAGCCAAAAGAAGCAACUUGCGAUCGUAUCUUCAAUCCUUGCGAUUGCAGGUUAGAUUGCAUGUUGCCUUCGAGGAUUUGUCGAGCCAAAAAAAUUCAUCAGUAGACAAACAGAGAUACUUGCGAUCGCAGGUACAGUCCUUGCGAUCGUAGUUUGGUCAAUUUGCGUCGAAAUAGCAACGUACUUCAUUAAAAAAAUCUCGUGACACGCUUUUGGGUGACACAUGCGAUCGCAGGUAUACCCCUUGCGAUCGUAGGUACGGUGUUUUGACAGCUAGACGUAUAAAUAUAGCCUGAUACUCUUCCAGUAACCAUAAUUGGCGAUUCCUGGCGAUUCAGAGGUUUCCAAGUGAAGAACGCAGAUCUAACGGAGACGAUUCGAUUGUUAUUCGUUUUUUAGUAAGAUUUAUCGUUUAGACUCUAUUUCUACUGUUUGUAAUCCGUUUUUAGCCAUGUCCGGCUAAAAACUCGGAUUUCAGUUUCGCAAGACAUAACCUUUUCGUAUGAUUAAUCAUUAAGCACUAUGUUUGACUAUGAUUACUGUUUAGUUUGAUCAAUUCUGUGUUAAUUGAAUGUCUGAUAUUGAUUUCA